rnacentral:rRNA from 1 species
GAUGAACGCUGGCGGCGUGCCUAAUACAUGCAAGUCGAGCGAAUGGAUUAAGAGCUUGCUCUUAUGAAGUUAGCGGCGGACGGGUGAGUAACACGUGGGUAACCUGCCCAUAAGACUGGGAUAACUCCGGGAAACCGGGGCUAAUACCGGAUAACAUUUUGAACCGCAUGGUUCGAAAUUGAAAGGCGGCUUCGGCUGUCACUUAUGGAUGGACCCGCGUCGCAUUAGCUAGUUGGUGAGGUAACGGCUCACCAAGGCAACGAUGCGUAGCCGACGUGAGAGGGUGAUCGGCCACACUGGGACUGAGACACGGCCCAGACUCCUACGGGAGGCAGCAGUAGGGAAUCUUCCGCAAUGGACGAAAGUCUGACGGAGCAACGCCGCGCGAGUGAUGAAGGCUUUCGGGUCGUAAAACUCUGUUGUUAGGGAAGAACAAGUGCUAGUUGAAUAAGCUGGCACCUUGACGGUACCUAACCAGAAAGCCACGGCUAACUACGUGCCAGCCGCCGCCGUAA